GAGAUGACAUGUUUUGUGGGAAUCAAUCUGGAAAAUAAAGAAAUAGAAAAAAACUUGGGCAAGUCAGGAGCUAGGGGAGUCCGGGAAUAGCGUGAUAUUUAGCAGAGGCGAGGCUGUCGUGCACCUCAUUGUGCUGGAAGCGACGCAGGACAGCUGAGACUGCCAUGCUCUGACCCACCGACGGCUUCUUGAUACUCACUUCUGAAGACGAAGGACGGGGAGGUGCUCCACUCUCGUGUCCUGGGUUCAUCACACUGAAUGACUAACGCCCCCCAGCCCACCAGAACUCCCAGACACAACUGUCUGCCCACCAAGGGCCGGGGAUAUCCCCAGGCCUGCCGACACGGAUCUGGUGGUGUUGGGGGCAGCUCUUCUCUUACCCAGAUGAGGGCAUGUGCAGUGAGCAUGAACACACACCGUCAGUUACGGACAGUUAACCACAGAUCGCUACACACCAGGGCCAACGCUGCAGACCAGGGUCCACACCACACACCAGGGUCCACAGCACACACCAGGGUCCACAGCACACACCAGGGUCCACAGCACACACCAGGGUCCACAGCACACACCAGGGUCCACAGCACACACACCAGGGGGUCCACACCACACACCAGGGUCCACAGCACACACCUGGGUCCACAGCACACACCAGGGCCAACGCCGCAGACCAGGGUCCACACCACACACCAGGGUCCACACCACACACCAGGGUCCACAGCACACACCUGGGUCCACAGCACACACCAGGGCCAACGCCGCAGACCAGGGUCCACACCACACACCAGGGUCCACACCACAGACCAGGAUCCACACCACACACCAGGAUCAAUACUGCAAGCCGGGAUCCACCCACAGACCAGGGUCCACACCACAGACCAGGGUCCACAGCACACACCAGGAUCAAUACUGCAAAGCCGGGAUCCACCCACAGACCAGGGUCCACACCACAGACCAGGGUCCACAGCACACACCAGAUUCAAUACUGCAAGCCGGGAUCCACCCACAGACCAGGGUCCACACCACAGACCAGGAUCCACAGCACACACCAGGAUCAAUACUGCAAGCCGGGAUCCACCCACAGACCAGGGUCCACACCACAGACCAGGGUCCACAGCACACACCAGGAUCAAUACUGCAAGCCGGGAUCCACCCACAGACCAGGGUCCACACCACAGACCAGGGUCCACAGCACACACCAGGAUCAAUACUGCAAGCCGGGAUCCACCCACAGACCAGGGUCCACACCACAGACCAGGGUCCACAGCACACACCAGGAUCAAUACUGCAAGCCGGGAUCCACCCACAGACCAGGGUCCACACCACAGACCAGGGUCCACAGCACACACCAGGAUCAAUACUGCAAGCCGGGAUCCACCCACAGACCAGGGUCCACACCACAGACCAGGGUCCACAGCACACACCAGGAUCAAUACUGCAAGCCGGGAUCCACCCACAGCACACACCAGGGUCCACACCACAGACCAGGGUCCACAGCACACACCAGGAUCAAUACUGCAAGCUGGGAUCCACCCACAGACCAGGGUCCACACCACAGACCAGGGUCCACAGCACACACCAGGAUCAAUACUGCAAGCUGGGAUCCACCCACAGACCAGGGUCCACACCACAGACCAGGGUCCACAGCACACACCAGGAUCAAUACUGCAAGCUGGGAUCCACCCACAGACCAGGGUCCACACCACAGACCAGGGUCCACAGCACACACCAGGAUCAAUACUGCAAGCUGGGAUCCACCCACAGACCAGGGUCCACACCACAGACCAGGGUCCACAGCACACACCAGGAUCAAUACUGCAAGCCGGGAUCCACCCACAGACCAGGGUCCACACCACACACCAGGGUCCACACCACACACCAGGAUCAAUAUUGCAAGCCGGGAUCCACCCACAGACCAGGGUCCACACCACACACCAGGGUCCACACCACACACCAGGAUCAAUAUUGCAAGCCGGGAUCCACCCACAGACCAGGAUCCACACCACAGACCAGAAUCCACAGCACACACCAGGAUCGAUACUGCAAGCCGGGAUCCACGCCACAGGCCAGGGUCCACACCAGGGUCCACAGGGUCCACACCAGGGUCCACAGGGUCCACACCACAGACCAGGAUCAAUACUGCAAGCCAGGGUCCACACCACAGACCUGGAUCCAUGCCACAGAUCAGGGUCCACACCACAGACCAGGAUCCACACCACAGACCAGGAUCAAUACUGCAAACCGGGAUCCACACCACAGGCCAGCGUCCACACCACAGACCAGGGUCCACACCACAGACCUGGAUCCAUGCCACAGACCAGGGUCCACACCACAGACCAGGAUCCACACCACAGACCAGGAUCAAUACUGCAAACCGGGAUCCACACCACAGGCCAGGGUCCACACCACACGCCCGGGUCCACACCACACGCCCGGGUCCACACCACACGCCAGGAUCCACACCACAGGCCAGGGUCCACACCACACGCCCGGAUCCACACCACACGCCCAGAUCCACACCACACGCCAGGAUCCACACUGCUAUGAGCCACUUCCCAACACUUUCCUUUCCCAGGGGGUCUGUUCCAUGCACUGAGUGGAGUGUUUGCUCCCUGCUAAUCCCUGCCCACAGCUCCUCCUCGAUUCCCUGUGUGGCGGGGGCCGGUGACACUGUGGCUGGUCAGUGUCGGUUCC
rnacentral:lncRNA from 1 species